rnacentral:rRNA from 1 species
CACGUAGGGUGCGAGCGUUGUCCGGAAUUAUUGGGCGUAAAGAGCUCGUAGGCGGUGUGUCACGUCGGCCGUGAAAACCUGCAGCUUAACUGUGGGCGUGCGGUCGAUACGGGCAUCACUGGAGUUCGGCAGGGGAGACUGGAAUUCCUGGUGUAGCGGUGAAAUGCGCAGAUAUCAGGAGGAACACCCGUGGCGAAGGCGGUUCUCUGGGACGGUACUGACGCUGAGGUGCGAAAGCGUGGGGAGCAAACAGG